UUGGUUAUAAAAUUGGUGUAAAAGGGUAUAAGUUAUGGUGUCUUGAAAAUAGAAAAGUUGUGAUUAGCAGAGAUAUUAUAUUUUGUGAAACUACUAUGCUACCUAACUUAUCUCUUAAAAACUCUUCCAAUAAAGAACAUCAAAAGCAGGUGGAGCAUCAGAUUAAUUUAGAAUCUACAACAGAGUCGACUCUUCAAGUCAGUACAAAAAUUUAGAAUAGAGUUGCUUUUUC
rnacentral:lncRNA from 1 species